UACGAAGGGGGCUAGCGUUGCUCGGAAUCACUGGGCGUAAAGCGCACGUAGGCGGAUUGUUAAGUCAGGGGUGAAAUCCUGGAGCUCAACUCCAGAACUGCCUUUGAUACUGGCGAUCUUGAGUCCGGGAGAGGUGAGUGGAACUGCGAGUGUAGAGGUGAAAUUCGUAGAGAUCGGAAAGAACACCAACGGCGAAAGCACUCUGCUGGGCCGACACUGACACUGAGAGACGAAAGCUAGGGGAGCGAAUGGG
rnacentral:rRNA from 1 species